GACUGGAGUGUUAAUUAGGAGCAGGGAAAUAAUUGCCUAUUAGAGCAGCAGGUGACACCAACUCCCUGCCACCACCUCCCUCCUCUUGCCCUUCCACCUAUUGCUCCCUCCCUGCCUGUGCCCCGCCCACUGACCCCCAGCUUCCUGCUCCAGGUCUUGGCCUCCAGCACCCUGGGGGGCUGCGGGUGCACCGCCUACAGGAGCCCUGAGAGCGUUCCCAGGCUUCGCGCCCUUCCCUGGCUGGACGCAUUGUCAGGACCCUAAUUGAGGCCAGCUGCUGGCUGGAGAGGCCCAGGCUGCAGCCCCGGGGGCUGCCGGAGGAAUAAUUAGGAAGCCAAGCAUGGUGCACACGCCUGUAAUCCCAGCAGCUUGGGAGGCUGAGGCAGAAGGAUCACAAGUUCAAGGCCAGCCUCAGCAACUUAGUGAGGUCCGAAGCAACUGAGCAAGACCCUGUCUCCAAAUAAAAGAUAAAAAGGGCUGGAGAUGUGGCUCAGUGGCUCGGCACUCCUGGGUUCAAUCUCUGGUGCCAAGAAAAGCAAAUAAAAAGAAAUAACUUACAGGAA